UACUCGAGUGGCGAACGGGUGAGUAACACGUGGUGAUCUGCCCUGCACUCUGGGAUAAGCCUGGGAAACUGGGUCUAAUACCGGAUAGGACCAUGCUUUAGUGUGUGUGGUGGAAAGUUUUUUCGGUGUAGGAUGAGCCCGCGGCCUAUCAGCUUGUUGGUGGGGUAAUGGCCUACCAAGGCGGCGACGGGUAGCCGACUGAGAGGUUGGUCGGCCACAUUGGGACUGAGAUACGGCCCAG
rnacentral:rRNA from 1 species